rnacentral:misc_RNA from 1 species
GAAACAAUGUGAAAUCUCCUUUGGUAACCUACGAAGCAAUCGGCACUUCAAAACUUUUUUCUUUGCUCAAUUCUAAUUUAAGACAUGAUAGUAACAUAAUUGCAUUUCAAUUUUGGAAUGCCGAUUGUGCAUGGCUAAUGCCAAACAUCAUCCAAAAUUUUCAACAACCACAAAGAAGAAGCGAGUACAUUCACACCUAAAAGAACGGCUACGCAACAACAUGAAAAUGAAAAUGUCAUGGCAUCUAUAAUAUCCCUGGGUCUGUCCUCUCUUCUAUCUUUCGUCUUUGCACAUGCAAAGGGAUAAAACCCACACGCCCAUAGGCUCCAGGCCUUGUCAACAUCUUACAAUGUCCAUUGAAACAAAUGAGCAAUACAGCAUCAAAAUUAAAAGGGUUAUGCAGGUCUUAGCAUCUCCAAAAAAAUAGCCACUUGAUUUAGUACGUGAAACAUUUUUGCCCCAACUACAGAUGGGGAAUUUGCUGCUUAUAAAUAUAGUUGGUUUUAAGCAGGGAAAUGGGCGUAUUAUAAUCAGUAUUUUAUGGUAGCUGUAUGAAAUUCAGUGGGUUCCCUGUUAAAUCGGAUGCAUCCCUGCAUUGAGUCUUCAGCAGAUGCCAUUAUCUACAAAGAGUAAAAUUAAUAUGUUGUAUGAUAAAUACGUUAAAGUAUACAUUGGCAACUAAUAACAAACAGUUAUAUAGGAAAACAAACGUGGCAUCUGAAACAAGCUCCUAGAGGUUUAUCAUGCAAAGCGCAGACAUAAAUCAAUCACAGAUCACCAUAUUAUUUACUUAUUGGCAAAGUGAAACAAAAAAAGAGGGAACAUUUUUCAAAUGUCCAUCCAGACCAUGUGGAAACUUUUGGUAAAAUGGACCACAUAAAAACAAGAUGACAAUGGUCUUUCAUGGUAUCUUAAACUGUUUCAGCAGUCCCCACAAAACUUCCAUACUAUUUAAGUGAAAGGAUAAAACUAAAUGGACCCUGAAACCGACACCAUUCUUUUCUGACAAUUAAUUUGAGCACAAAGGAAGACAAUGAGGGGUAAGAAAGAAAAGAAGAAGCCAUAAAUUGUUAUAUGGUCGCAGACCAAAAUGACCGACUCCAGAAGGUUAAUAGAUAAGCAACUCCAAAAAAUCUAAAAACCAGAAAAUGGUUUUUUUUAUCUACCUACACAUAUGAUAAACAGAAGUAAUUAUGUGAAUUUGGUGAGGCAAGAAUUACUUAGGUUUGUCUGUUAAGGUGACCAGAGAUCUGAGCACACCAGGA